rnacentral:rRNA from 1 species
UACGUAGGGUGCAAGCGUUAAUCGGAAUUACUGGGCGUAAAGCGUGCGCAGGCGGUUUCGUAAGUCUGUCGUGAAAUCCCCGGGCUUAACCUGGGAAUGGCGAUGGAGACUGCGAGGCUAGAGUUUGGCAGAGGGGGGUAGAAUUCCACGUGUAGCAGUGAAAUGCGUAGAUAUGUGGAGGAACACCGAUGGCGAAGGCAGCCCCCUGGGUCAAAACUGACGCUCAUGCACGAAAGCGUGGGGAGCAAACAGG